AACGAACGCUGGCGGCAUGCCUAACACAUGCAAGUCGAACGAGACCUUCGGGUCUAGUGGCGCACGGGUGCGUAACGCGUGGGAACCUGCCCUUAGGUUCGGAAUAACUCCCCGAAAGGGGUGCUAAUACCGGAUAAUGUCUUCGGACCAAAGAUUUAUCGCCUUUGGAUGGGCCCGCGUUGGAUUAGCUAGUUGGUAGGGUAAAAGCCUACCAAGGCGACGAUCCAUAGCUGGUCUGAGAGGAUGAUCAGCCACACUGGGACUGAGACACGGCCCAGACUCCUACGGGAGGCAGCAGUGGGGAAUAUUGGACAAUGGGCGAAAGCAUGAUCCAGCAAUGCCGCGUGAGUGAUGAAGGGCUUAGGGUUGUAAAGCUCUUUUACCCGGGAUGAUAAUGACAGUACCGGGAGAAUAAGCUCCGGCUAACUCCGU
rnacentral:rRNA from 1 species